rfam:Camelus ferus unplaced genomic scaffold scaffold1940, whole genome shotgun sequence.
GAGGGUGUAGCUUAAGUGGUAGAGCACAUGUUUAGCAUGCACGAGGUCCUGGGUGCAAUCCCCAGUACCUCCU